GUUAUUCACGAUCCAGUUAUCUCGUUUCUCUCCUGCAAAUCGAAACCGAAAGAAUUCAAAAUCCUUCUUCCAGAAAUUAUUAGAUUUGCUAGAUGAAUCACGUUACAAUGGUAUUGUUGUCGUGUAUUCUGGAGUUUGGAACAACGAACAGGAUGAUCGGACAUGGGAAGUAUCCUAAACUUCUGAAUUACAGAGAACUAUACUACAGAAUUUUCUUAACUUGACAGAGUUUUGAGAUUUAAAUUGGGGUACUUGGAGUGCAUGGAUUUAUUUGAUUCUAUGAUAUGAGGAACCCAUUUUUGUGAUGAUUAAUUUGUAAAAAAUCCAAAACAAAUGAAUCAUGGUAAGUAUUCCAAGUAGAGACUCUCUACAGCUAUGCCUUUAAGAAAUUUUGGUAUCAUUUGAGAAUGUAAAUCAGUUCUAACUUGAUGUUCAGCUGUUACUUCGUUUCAAAAUUUAUGAAUACUAUCCUUGUUAUAGUGUUAUCCUGUAUGGAAUUCA